GAUGAACGCUGGCGGCGUGCCUAAUACAUGCAAGUCGAGCGAACGGACGAGAAGCUUGCUUCUCUGAUGUUAGCGGCGGACGGGUGAGUAACACGUGGAUAACCUACCUAUAAGACUGGGAUAACUGCGGGAAACCGGAGCUAAUACCGGAUAAUAUUUUGAACCGCAUGGUUCAAGAGUGAAAGACGGUCUUGCUGUCACUUAUAGAUGGAUCCGCGCUGGAUUAGCUAGUUGGUAAGGUAACGGCUUACCAAGGCAGCGAUGCAUAGCCGACCCGAGAGGGUGAUCGGGCACACUGAGACUGAGACGCGGCCCAGGCUCCUACGGGAGGCAGCAGUAGGGAAUGUUCGGAGAUGGGCGAAAGCCUGACGGAGGAACGCCGCGUGAGUGAUGAGGGUCUUCGGAUCGUAAAACUCUGUUAUUAGGGAAGAACAUAUGUGUAAGGAACUGUGCACAUCGUGACGGUACCUAAUCAGAAAGCCACGGCUAACUACGUG
rnacentral:rRNA from 1 species